rnacentral:rRNA from 1 species
CGGGAGGCAGCAGUGGGGAAUAUUGCGCAAUGGGGGAAACCCUGACGCAGCGACGCCGCGUGAAGGAAGAAGCCCUUCGGGUUGUAAACUUCUUUGNUCGGGGACGAAGAUGACGGUACCCNAAUAACAAGCCACGGCUAACUACGUGCCAGCAGCCGCGGUAAUACGUAGGUGGCGAGCGUUGUCCGGAAUUACUGGGUGUAAAGGGCGUGUAGGCGGGGUUNCAAGUCAGAUGUGAAAUUCCGCGGCUUAACCUCGGGUGUGCAUCUGAAACUGGUGCUCUUGAGUGUCGGAGAGGAAAGUGGAAUUCCCAGUGUAGCGGUGAAAUGCGUAGAGAUUGGGAGGAACACCAGUGGCGAAGGCGGCUUUCUGGACGACAACUGACGCUGAGGCGCGAAAGCGUGGGGAGCAAACAGGAUUAGAUACCCUGGUAGUCCUCGCCGUAAAC